AUCCUUUUGUGGUUCAUAAGUAUGAUGAAUGGGUGUUCACGCGCUUGUGUGAGAUGUGCCUCCCUCCAACCUUGUUACGACGUGGGCACAUUACCCGUCUGACA
rnacentral:snoRNA from 15 species